rnacentral:rRNA from 1 species
UACGUAGGGGGGCUAGCGUUAUCCGGAAUUACUGGGCGUAAAGGGUGCGUAGGUGGUUUCUUAAGUCAGAGGUGAAAGGCUACGGCUCAACCGUAGUAAGCCUUUGAAACUGAGAAACUUGAGUGCAGGAGAGGAGAGUAGAAUUCCAGGUGUAGCGGUGAAAAUGCGUAGAUAUCUGGAGGAAUACCGGUGGCGAAGGCGGCAUCCUGGACCGACAUUGACGCUGAUGAGCGAAAGCUAGGGGAGCAAACGGG